GUUUCGGUACACUUUAGGUGAGUGGCAGUUGGGUAGAUGGAUGACCUUCAGAUAGUUUGAGAUGAAGAAGUUCUUUUAAAUGGUUGAAAGUGAUCAUCAUAGAAUCAACUCCAUUAUGAAGAUAAAUUAUGAGAGUCAGCACUUCUUUUGUCCAACACCUGAGAGAUCUGAGUACCCAGCCUACUGUUGAAUUAAUUGGUGACCAAGAAAAGAUGACAGAGAGGGGAAUCAAAUAUGGAUGCCAUCAUGAUCAAGAAUAUAUAUAGAUGAACAUUCAAGCAUUUAUAAUAAUGAAAGUCAUUCAGCAAGAGAGGUUUUUGCACAAGUUUAAUUUUCAGUAAAAUUGUGUAUAUUGUGCACUGAGGAACUUAGUAUGUAACUCAUUAUGAUUAUCCAUUUCUUUAGAGGAUGUAUUCGGAGUAUAUUUAAAUAAUCAUUAUCUUCUAGAAAAGAGCACACAAAACUUUUCUCUCUGUGCGAAGCAUGACACAUAUGCAUACACUCCAGCAUUUACCACAACCACAGUUACAUAUUUUCCAGGGCGUUUGAAAUCGAGCACAUACAUGAAAAUGUGUUAAGCUGGACACAUAUGCAAACACACAAGCAUCUAUCACAACCAAUUACAUAUUUUCCAAGGCGUGUGAAGUCGAGCACAUACAUGAAAAUGUGUGAAGCUGGACACAUAUGCAAACACACAAGCAUCUACCACAACACCAGUUACAUAUUUUCCAAGGCGUGUGAAGUCGAGCACAUACAUGAAAAUGUGUUAAGCUGGACACAUAUGCAAACACACAAGCAUCUAUCACAACCAAUUACAUAUUUUCCUAGGCGUGUGAAGUCGAGCACAUACAUGAAAAUGUGUGAAGCUGGACACAUAUGCAAACACACAAGCAUCUACCACAACACCAGUUACAUAUUUUCCAAGGCGUGUGAAGUCGAGCACAUACAUGAAAAUGUGUGAAGCUGGACACAUAUGCAAACACACAAGCAUGUACCACAACCAAUUACAUAUUUUCCAAAGCGUGUGAAGAUGGACACAUAUGCAAACAUAAUCUCCUACCACAGACGCAAUACACAUAAAAUUUAGUCCAAAGUAUAAAGUCAAGCUCAAACAGGCUCACUGCGUGACGCUGGACACAUGCAUUUACUUAUGCAUCUUGCAAAACUACAUCUGAACCUAUAUUCUAAUAGGUGUUUAAGCAAUUUUGUGUAAAUAAUGUAAAUUGCACCAUUAUGCUUACAAGAUGUCAACAUUAUUAACCUGUACAUAAAUACUCAUUAGAUAGCCUUUAAUAGUUUUAGUUGGAAAUACUUGUACUUUGCCUGAUUUAUGUUGUGUAGUUUCUCGUCAGUGAUCUUGAGUAAUAACUGAGUAUGGCAUUUUUAGUUCCAUUUAAACUGCAAAGUUUUAACACAUGUACAUGCACCAUAAAGGAUAAAUAAUAUUGUAUUGUAUUUUAACCUUUUUUAAUUUUAUUCUCUGUCAUUUUAUUGCCUGUUCAAGUAAAAGAUGUAAUCUUGUAAUGUUUGUAACUGUUUUUGGUAGAUAUUUAUGAAGCAGAAAUUAUAACAGAAAAGGUUUCAAUACAUCUACACAAGAAGCAAAUAAAAAAAGAGUUCUCCAUCUAUCAGAUAUCAGCAAAUCAGAUGAGUUAAAGGUUAAGUCAUAGGGAAUUUUAAAGUUUAUUAUAUCUAUAGUCUGAUAACUGAUACCAUUUUUACAUUUUUGAUUGUCCAUCUACAGUAUACAAAAAUAGUAUAAAUUUUUAUAUUUUGUAGAUGACAAUCUCUAAUACUAAAUAAACUGGAAAUUGAUAUAA